rnacentral:lncRNA from 10 species
UUGCAAUGUAAAAAUAUAUCUUGGUCUCUGCAUGAUGAUAUAUUAACAUCUAUACCAUGGAACUUUUAAAAGGAAAAUUGUGUGGUAUAAUUAAAAGAAUAUUGCAUGUUAUAGAGAAACUUCACCUGUUGAUUUAGCAGGUGCCAUUGUGUAGAUGCUAAGCAAAUCUUAAUAUGUUUCCUUGGAUUUUUGAAAUUUGAAUUUGUUGUGUAACUUUGCUAGUUAAAAGAUUUAGAGGGAUUUGGCUGGGCGCAUGGCUCACGCUUGUAAUCCCAGCACUUUGGGAGGCCGAGGUAGGCAGAUCACGAGGUCAGGAGUUCGAGACCAGCCUGGCCAAUACAGUGAAACCCUGUCUCUUCUAAAAAUACAAAAAUUAGCUGGGCCUCGUGGCGGGCGCCUGUAAUCCCAGCUACUUGGGAGGCUGGCAGGAGAAUCACUUGAACCAGGGAGGUGGAGGUUGCAAUGAGCCGAGAUGGCGCCACUGCACCCCAGCCUGGGUGGCAGAGCUAGACUCUGUCUCAAAAAAAAAAAAAAGAGUGGGAUUUAUCAUAGUUUUUUUUUCUUAACUGUUAUUGACUAUUUUUAAUUUUUAUUUUUUAAUUCAGUGGCCUCUCAGGAUUAUUACCUGCAUUUUUUUUUCAGGAAAAUCCCAAUUCUGCAACUAACUCUGUGGCCUUAGACAAGUCUCUUGCCUUAUCCAGGGCUGUUUCCUUGUCUGUAAAAUAAAGAGUUGGACUAGAUGAUCUCUAAGGUCCCUUUUACAUCUAUAGUUUCCUUGGUACUAUAUUAGUGUUUGAGACAAAACAAUUUAAUAUAUCUAAGCCAGUUCUCCCUGUUAUCGUUGUUGUUUUCUAUCAUUUUAUCAUUGGAAACAACUUGGAUUUGGUUAUGGUAAUUUAUAUGAUGCCUCUUGGUACAGUUUUGUGUAUAGUGUUCCUACAUGCUUGCAUUUGCCAGUACAAAUUACAUUCAGCCUAUAAAAUAGAGAUGAACUUCUGUAUUCACCAGCACUUCCUUUUUCCAAUUGUAACUUUUCAUUUUCCUUCUAAAUUCAGAGUUUUAAAGUAGAAGUACUUGCUAGUAAUGCAGAUAGAGUCAGUUCUCUCACCAAUAUGGAUUUAAAUUGUCCUUUCCAUCUCAGUUUACUCUUUUUUAAAAAAAAAACAAACCAAUAUGCUACCUGAAACUAGAAACACAUUUUUAAUUCUGCAGCUCUCCUAACAGAUUAUUUUGCUUUAGUACAGAGCUGGGCUGCAGGCUGAGUUGGGAGUUGGUAAAGGAUUGAGGACAGCAAUGUAGGUCGCCUCUUCCUACAGGAAAAAAUUGAGGAACGUUGUGUAUUACUGGUUAAAAGAUUGAUUAGGAUUAUUUCAAGGGAUGGUUGAGUUGUCGUUUUACUUAUUUCACCCAAUAUUUUGUGUCUCUACUUAAGCAGUGUUGUUUUAAAUGUUACUGGAUAAUUGUAACAUAAUCAAAUUAAAUUUUAUAUUUAACUGAUACCCAAGCAUUUGAUGAAAACAUGUUGCAGGAAUGGGAGAGUAUUCCAUAGCUUUUGUUUUAUUGUGAUUUGAUUAAAUGUGACAACUAAUAGUUUAAAGACAGGACUUCACUGUUUUAGCUGAUUUCCUGUAGAAAGUGUGGCUAAGUUUAAUUGAAAGAAAUGUCUUCUUACUAGAACUGAUUUUGGGGGACUUUAUCCACUCUUACUUGGAACACUAACUGUUGGCUUAUAAGGGUUCAAAAAGGAAGCAACAGUUGCUUAUUUGGCAUGUUGAAAUAUCACUGGCUAUUUUAGAGUAUGAAGCAAACUUUAUCAAUAUGUUUUCUUUUCCCUCCUUACACACAAUGUAGACUGAUAGAAAAUUAGUUUUAGUUCUUCUAGAAUUUAUAUAAAUUUUGUAAGCUCCACCCAACACACACACACA